CACUGACGCUCAGGCGCGAAAGCCUGGGUAGCAAACAGGAUUAGAUACCCUGCUAGUCCACGCCAUAAACGAUGGGUACUAGGUGUCGGGGGUAUCGACCCUUCCGGUGCCGCAGUUAACGCACUAAGUACCCCGCCUGGGGAUUAUGGUCGCAAGGCUGAAACUCAAAGGAAUUGACGGGGCCCCGCACAAGCGGUGGAGCAUGUGGUUUAAUUCGACGCAACGCGAAGAACCUUACCUGGGCUUGACAUGCUUGGGACAGCGCUGGAAACAGCGUCUCUCCUUCGGGAGCCCUUGCACAGGUGCUGCAUGGCUGUCGCCAGCUCGUGUCGUGAGAUGUUGGGUUAAGUCCCGCAACGAGCGCAACCCUCGUUACUAGUUGCCAUCAGUUCGGCUGGGCACUCUAGUGAGACUGCCGGUGAUAAGCCGGAGGAAGGUGAGGAUGAUGUCAAGUCAUCAUGGCCCUUACGCCCAGGGCUACACACGUGCUACAAUGGUCGGCACAAAGGGUCGCUAAGCCGCGAGGUGGAGCUAAUCCCAAAAAGCCGGCCUCAGUUCGGAUUGGAGUCUGCAACCCGACUCCAUGAAGGCGGAAUCGCUAGUAAUCGCGGAUCAGCAUGCCGCGGUGAAUAUGUUCCCGGGGCUUGUACACACCGCCCGUCAUAUCACCCGAGUCGGGGAUACCCGAAGUCCGUGACCCAACCAUUUG
rnacentral:rRNA from 1 species